UACGUAGGGCGCAAGCGUUGUCCGGAAUUAUUGGGCGUAAAAGAGCUCGUAGGCGGCUUGUCACGUCUGCUGUGAAAUCCCGGGGCUCAACCCCGGGCCGUGCAGUGGAUACGGGCUGGCUAGAGGCAGGCAGGGGGAGAACGGAAUUCCCGGUGUAGCGGUGAAAUGCGCAGAUAUCGGGAGGAACACCGGUGGCGAAGGCGGUUCUCUGGGACAGUACUGACGCUGAGACGCGAAAGCGUGGGGAGCGAACAGG
rnacentral:rRNA from 1 species